rnacentral:rRNA from 1 species
AUUGAACGCUGGCGGCAUGCCUUACACAUGCAAGUCGAACGGCAGCACGGGAGCAAUCCUGGUGGCGAGUGGCGAACGGGUGAGUAAUAUAUCGGAACGUGCCCAGUCGUGGGGAUAACGUAGCGAAAGCUACGCUAAUACCGCAUACGAUCUAUGGAUGAAAGCGGGGGAUCGCAAGACCUCGCGCGAUUGGAGCGGCCGAUAUCAGAUUAGGUAGUUGGUGAGGUAAAGGCUCACCAAGCCGACGAUCUGUAGCUGGUCUGAGAGGACGACCAGCCACACUGGGACUGAGACACGGCCCAGACUCCUACGGGAGGCAGCAGUGGGGAAUUUUGGACAAUGGGCGCAAGCCUGAUCCAGCAAUGCCGCGUGAGUGAUG